rnacentral:rRNA from 1 species
CGCAUCUGUGCAUGCAGCAUAUCAAUAAGCGGAGGAAAAGAAACUAACAAGGAUUCCCUUAGUAACGGCGAGUGAAGCGGGAAGAGCUCAAAUUUGAAAUCUUCAAGGUUUUACCUUGACGAAUUGUAGUUUAAAGAAGUGUUUUCUGUUGAAGUUUUGGUAAAAGUUCUUUGGAAUAGGACAUCAUAGAGGGUGAGAAUCCCGUAUUUGACCAUUAUUUUCAGCUGUGUGAUACACUUUCAAAGAGUCGGAUUGUUUGGGAAUGCAGUCCAAAAUGGGUGGUAAAUUUCAUCUAAAGCUAAAUAUUGGCGAGAGACCGAUAGCGAACAAGUACCGUGAGGGAAAGAUGAAAAGAACUUUGAAAAGAGAGUUAAACAGUACGUGAAAUUGUCAAAAGGGAAGCGUUUGACACCAGUGUUGUUUUCUCGAAAAUCAAUUAAAAAGAGUUAGAUUUUGUUGUGUAUUGACCUUAACAGCUUGCAUUUCAAUUUUCUUGCUUUUUUUAAUGCACUUUUCGUUUAACAAGCCAACAUCAGUUUCUUUUGUUGUAAAAAGGUCAUUGGAGGGUGGCUUUCUUUUCGGAGAAAGUGUUUAUAGCCUUUGACUCCUGCAAUCGGAGAGACUGAGGUCUGUAGCGUAGAUCCUUCGGGGUUAGAUACAUUUGUGCUAAGUUAUAGCUUUUUAUAGACAACUUGUUGACUAUGAUUAGUCUUGUAGCUUACUCGCUUAUGCUAUUUUACCUACGCUUAGGAUGUUGACACACGCGCGUGCUCGGCUCUAUACAUGACUCUGUGCAUAUCAAUAAGCGGAGGAAAAGGGGGCUAUUACCUACGCUUAGGAUGUUGACACACGCGCGUCUACGACCCUAUACAUGACUCUGCGCAUAUCAAUAAGCGGAGGAAAAGCUGUUACCUACGCUUAGGAUGUUGAAGAUAUGCGCGACACG